CGACGUGGAUAACCUGCCUCACACAGGGGAGUAACAGUUAGAAAUGACUGCUAAUACCGCAUAAGCGCACGGCAUCGCAUGAUGCAGUGUGAAAAACUCCGGUGGUGUGAGAUGGAUCCGCGUCUGAUUAGGUAGUUGGUGGGGUAACGGCCCACCAAGCCGACGAUCAGUAGCCGACCUGAGAGGGUGACCGGCCACAUUGGGACUGAGACACGGCCCAA
rnacentral:rRNA from 1 species